rnacentral:rRNA from 1 species
AUUGAACGCUGGCGGCAGGCCUAACACAUGCAAGUCGAGCGAGCGGCGGACGGGUGAGUAAUGUCUGGGAAACUGCCUGAUGGAGGGGGAUAACUACUGGAAACGGUAGCUAAUACCGCAUACCAUCAGAUGUGCCCCGAUGGGAUUAGCUAGUAGGUGGGGUAACGGCUCACCUAGGGGACGAGCCCUAGCUGGUCUGAGAGGAUGACCAGCCACACGGUAACUGAGUCACGGUCCAGGCUCCUACGGUAGGCAGCAGUGGGGAAGAUGGAACAAUGGGCGAAAGCCUGAUGCAGCCAUGCCGGGUGGGGGAAGAGGUCAUUCGGGUUGUAAAGCACUUUCGGCGGGGAGACGUUACCCGCAGAAGAAGCACCGGCUAACUCCGUGCCAGCAGCCGCGGUAAUUC